GGCGUGCCGUCCUCGACGGUCCUCUCCAGGGUCACCGCCGACCGCUCCGCCCCCAAAGGUGCAGCAAAUGGGGGGAAUAAUGCAGGUGUCGGGAGCUUCGGAAGACUGAAGGCCCAGAAAGUGCAGGCUUUAGCUAGGAGAUCAGCAGUCCGCACAAGCAUCGCACGGCGUAGUGAAUCUUCUUAUGCUGAUUCUGAUGAAGAUGGAAGCAAAUCUGGAAGAAGGAAGUUUGUCCCCGACCCAGCACGCCGCGCAAAACAAAAUGAUGACUCUAGGGAUGAGAGGAGCAGGGCCGUGCGUUCUCUGAAUUCUGUGCUGAGGCAAUACAAAGGCGACGAUGAUUCAGAUCUUUCUGAUGAGGAGGCUGCUUUUGGCCCCAAAGUUUGGGGUAAAGUUGCCGAUGCUACGUCUUAUAGAAGAGAGGAUCGGAAGCAGAAGGUCCCUUUGGACAGUGGGUUUUUCAGCCGCAGAUCUUUUAAGGAGAUUGGCUGCGGCGAUGAGAUUCUCGGUGCAUUGAGAACCUUCGGGUUUCCUCAACCAUCACACAUUCAGGCUAUGGCAUAUGGUCCUGUCUUGGAGGGGAGGAGUUGCAUUAUUGCUGAUCAGAGUGGGUCUGGCAAGACAUUGGCAUAUCUCUGCCCUAUAGUUCAAAAUUUAAGGAAGGAAGAAGCUAUCGGGAUCCACAAACCAUCUCCCAGGAACCCACGCGUCAUAAUAUUGACACCUACUGCUGAACUUUCUUCUCAGGUCCUUCAGAAUUGCCGUUCAAUAUCGAAAUCUGGGGUUCCCUUCAGGUCAAUGGUUGCGACCGGUGGAUUUCGACAGAAGACCAACUGGAAAGCCUUGAUCAAGAGCUAG
rnacentral:rRNA from 1 species